AGGAGGCUUUCAGCUAAUAAUACUGCAAAAUGUAUCACCAUCUUUCCAUCUCACCAAUAUUCACAUGAACCUACAGGUUUGUUGCAGUUGGAAAUGAACAAUUCUUGGAAACAUACAAUGCCUUUCCGCUGGAUCUAGUACUCUUUUCCAGACAACUUAAGAUACCUUGUUCCAGCUGAUUUGACUGUUGGGCAGUUUGUUUAUGCAUGUUGUCCAGAAAAGGAUUAAGCUCGGUUCUGAGAAGGCUAUUUUUGCAUAAAUCUAACAAAUCACUUGGGGCAAUAUCUUUUGUUUAUAAUAAGGAUAGGGAAUUGUGGUUCUGAAAACUAUUAGUUCAGUUCUUCAGCUAAAUGGAUUUAUCUUCUAUA